rnacentral:rRNA from 1 species
UACGGGGGGGGCAAGCGUUGUUCGGAAUUACUGGGCGUAAAGGGCUCGUAGGCGGCCAACUAAGUCAGACGUGAAAUCCCUCGGCUUAACCGGGGAACUGCAUCUGAUACUGGAUGGCUUGAGAUUGGGAGAGGGAUGCGGAAUUCCAGGUGUAGCGGUGAAAUGCGUAGAUAUCUGGAGGAACACCGAUGGCGAAGGCAGCCCCCUGGGUCAAAACUGACGCUCAUGCACGAAAGCGUGGGGAGCAAACAGG